ensembl:lncRNA
AUGGUGUCCAGCGUCGGGACUGCGGUCUUCGUCGUCAUGGUGAAGCUGGUCAUGACAGAAGCCAAACUGGCCUGUCGCCAGGACAGUGGCACGUUCUCCCUUCUUGUGACGGGGACUCAAAACUGUGAAGACAGCAGCUGGAAGGCUGGUGAUGGCACUGUGCUGGCAUAUGACGAAACUUACAACAAAACUGUGGUGCUGGGGACGGACCAGAGUCCAGGACACUACAGAAUCACCUUCAGGACCUGCCUUCCGGAUGUCACAUUUACCUGCAACAAGGAGGCAGUCAGCUGUGAAUAUACCUGCCCUGGACGAUUUGAUCCAAACCACGGUCCAGCAACCACGGGCGUCGGACCUGCCGAACCAGAGCCCCCCAUGAAUGAGCUCUCUAGGGAACGUGUUGGUAUCAUAGGCAGUGCUCUGGUUGUCCUCCUCCUCAUCAUCAUAAUCAUCAUCAGUGCACUGAGGGCUAAGCAUACAGAUCGUUUUCAGGCUGAGGUGUAG